GACGAACGCUGGCGGCGUGCUUAACACAUGCAAGUCGAACGAGGUCCAUGAAGUAGCAAUACUUCGGAAGACCUAGUGGCGAACGGGUGCGUAACACGUGAGGAGCUUGUCCCGGUCUCUGGGAUAACAGUUGGAAACGACUGCUAAUACCGGAUGACGUCGGAGCAUCGCAUGGUGCGCUGACGAAAGGGUUACUGGAUCGGGAGAGCCUCGCGGCCUAUCAGCUUGUUGGUGGGUUACGGCCUACCAAGGCAUCGACGGGUAGCUGGUCUGAGAGGAUGAUCAGCCACACUGGGACUGAGACACGGCCCAGACUCCUACGGGAGGCAGCAGUGGGGAAUCUUGCGCAAUGGGCGAAAGCCUGACGCAGCAACGCCGCGUGCGGGAAGAAGG
rnacentral:rRNA from 1 species